AACGAACGCUGGCGGCAUGCCUAACACAUGCAAGUCGAACGAGACCUUCGGGUCUAGUGGCGCACGGGUGCGUAACGCGUGGGAACCUGCCCUUAGGUUCGGAAUAACUCCCCGAAAGGGGUGCUAAUACCGGAUAAUGUCUUCGGACCAAAGAUUUAUCGCCUUUGGAUGGGCCCGCGUUGGAUUAGCUAGUUGGUAGGGUAAAAGCCUACCAAGGCGACGAUCCAUAGCUGGUCUGAGAGGAUGAUCAGCCACACUGGGACUGAGACACGGCCCAGACCCUGAGGGGAGGCGGGAGGGGGGAAUAUUGAAAAGGGGGGAAGAGCUAGAACACCCUCGGCCGGGGGAGGAAUGAGGGCUUGGGGUUAGAAAAGUUUUUUCACCCGGGAGGAUAAGGACGGUCCGGGAAAAAUAAGCCCGGGCAAACCCGGUG
rnacentral:rRNA from 1 species